rnacentral:tRNA from 1 species
AGGGCUAUAGCUCAGUAGGUAGAGCACCUCGUUUACACCGAGAAAGUCUACGGUUCGAAUCCGUAUAGCCCUA